rnacentral:lncRNA from 1 species
GACAUGUAUAUAAAUCUCAACAGUCGCAGCGGAAUAUAAAUAAGAGUGAUCAAAUAUAUACAUGCCAUGAGCAAAUAAAUCAUAUCCCAAAGAUAAAUCUCAAAACCCAAACAUACGGGUAGUCAUCAACAAAAUAAUAAUCCAAAGGAAAAUAUAAACAACCUAAUCUAGACCGACACGACAAGCCUAGAUCAGAGCCGACACGACACCGAUAUCGGAGGAAGCUUCCGAUAUCCCAAGCAAAGACUCACCGAGACUAUUCCUGCACAACGUCUACUCACCCAUACAGGCAAGUAGGCGGUUAAAACCACUGAGGGUAAGCAUUACAUUAUCAUAAUCCAGAUAACAAUUAAAUCAAAUAAUAUCAUGCACUUGAAUAAUAAUAGUCAUGCAUAAAUACUUAUAUCACAACUUGAUAGUUCCUAUCAACAUAUAUCAAUCACAUGAGUAAUUAUCCAAUCAUAAACAUUCAUUCACAAACAUCAAUCAUUGAGCAAUCAUUAUCAACAUUCAUUCAUCACAAUUCAUCACCAAUCACCCAUUUCACAUAGGACUCAUGCUAUGAUAUACACUUAUUGACACAUAAUGCAUGUGGUACCGAAUCUCCAAAAAGGUCGUCACCCAAAUCCAAAUCUCAAAAGAUCUCUGCCAGGCCGAAGCCCUAUAACGAAUAAAACAUCGUAUCCAGAUCUCAAAAGAUCUCUGCCAGGCCGAAGCCCUAAAACUAGAUCUCAAAAGAUCUCUGCUAGGCCGGAGCCCAAUAAUGAAUAAAACAUCAUUUCAUCUCGACUAUGAUGCAUCGACAUGUAUAAGGACUCGAUAAUGCGACAACAAUUCACAAUCUCAACUCAAUAUAUAGGACGACACCCAAUUAUAUUGAUUAUCUCCACAACAUUGCAUUAUCAAGAAAACAUGCCCAUACACAAAUAAAACAACAUCUCAUGAUAAAUAUCAUAUUCAACAUAUAACCAUUAAACAUCAACUAUCACAUAUAGUUUCACUAUUCAAGCAUUCCUUACAUUCUAAGUAAGAUAGCAUACAUAUCUCAUGAUAAACAUCAUACUUCAAACAUAUACAUGCAUAUUCAAUUAUUCACUCUAAGUACCUCAUUAACCCAUUACCAAGUUUGGAAAAGUUUCACGGUUUAUAAAGAAAACAUUUAUGAUAAGUUUUCACAAAAAUCCACAUGACUCAUGUGUAUUAAUUUGAUCAUAUCUCAAGUUCUAAAAAUUAUUUGGACGUCAAACCAAAGCCAUUAGAAAGCUAAUAAAAUUAUCUACAACUUUCAUGUUUACACCAAAGUCCAAUUCAAAACAGAAAUAGGAGAAAAAGAUGCAAGAACGCGAAACAGGGGGCGCUGUCACUGUGCAGCUCGCCUCGCGAGUGAAUCACUCGCCCCCAACUCGCCAUGGCGAGUUAGGACAGUAAGCAAAAGUUCUGUUUUCGUAAAAAUUCCAUUUUCACCCCAAAAUCCCAAUUUUUGACUUCCCAAUACCUAAAUUCGAUCCCAAAGUGUGUUUAAAUGUUUCUAGACAUGAAAAGACACUCAAUUCCAUAUACAAACUUGAAUCAAACAUCAUUUUAAACAAAAUCAUCAUUGACCCAUUUUCUCAAAACAACAACAACAUCUCAUUUCUCAUCAUCAAUCCAUAAUUAAGUAUACCCAAGUCAUGAUUCACUCACAACAGCAUCAGUUAACAAUAACAACAUCAAUGGAAUAUGAACUACAUCUCAUUUCAAUCAAAACAUAUCAAAUUUCAUCAAUGAAGUAUAAUUUUAUAACUUAACAUUUAUACAUACUUUGAAACAUGUAAUUUCACCCACAAACAUACCAUAACCAUCGAUUCAUGCACAAGAAAAUAGCAUCACAGCAAGAGCACGAAUUUAGCAAUAAUUGUUCAUCAACCCAUUUUCAUACAACAUCAGAAAAUGCAAAAAUUGUACAUGAUUAUGAUAAUAACUAACCCCCUUACCUUAGAAGAAGAUUAACCCAAACUCUUGCUUCAAUUCAGCUCCUAAGCUUACCCCAAUUGAUUCCUCAAGCUCUUCUCUCCAAAACCCUUUUUCUUCUCUUCACCUCUUUCUCUCUCUACCUCUCUCUAGAAA